ensembl:misc_RNA Metazoa_SRP Metazoan signal recognition particle RNA
GCCGGGUGUGGUGGUGCACACCUGUAGUCCCAGCUACUUGGGAGGCUGAGGCAGGAGAAUCGCUUGAACCCGGGAGGUGGAGGUUGCAGUGAGCAGAGAUCAUGCCACUGCACUCCAGCCUGGGUGACAGAGUGAGACCCUCAU